ACAUUGCACUUUAAAGCAAUAUAUAAAUGUUAGCUAUUAUUAUUUUUUUUCUUUUUCUUCCCAGGAGCUAUCAAGGCCAAGUUUGACUGCCAGGAAGGAGCUGGGAGCAGCCAAAGAGGCUGAACAUGUCAGACUUCUCUCCCAGCCUGCCACACACACUUAAAACCUAAAGGAAAUAAGCCGGGAUCAAUGGGAGGAAGGGAGCCAACCAGUUACAGUAUAUGGAGACUAUAUGCCUGGAGAGAUUCUGUGCUUCUUAGGAGUGAGUACCAGCCUGUGGAUCGCUGAUGAGUCUCAUCACCAGGUGGCUUAGGACUUGUACUGGUGAAAGGAGAGCCCACACCUCUCAAGAAUCUCCAAAGUGCUGAAGAAAUAAGACUUUUAAAAAUGUCAUGGGAAUUUUGCGAAGGCCAAGUAAGGACAUAACUGAUUCUCCAUGGUGAAAGUUUAACCAAAGUUGACAAAAACCACCACCGUCUACUAUAAAAGCGUUGUGGAUAUGUACCAAGAAGGACUUCACAUACUUGAUAUGACACUGCUGAUAGAGAAGUUAUUUCGGUGGGAAGAAUAGAACUUUAUCCUGAUAACAUCAUGAGUGUGGCUUUGAGGACCAAACAGUUCCUAAAUCCUACAGCCUAUGAUAGUUCCAUUGCUUGAUCAAGUUUAACAGUUUUUUUCUCCUUUCAUAAUGGUUUAUCACCUAGAUACAUUUUUCUACACCAUCCGAAAAGGAAAGAGAACUUCAGGGGCCAAAAAACCCACAAAGGCAGAGAAGAUAAUCAUUUGAAAGUAUUAAUGGCAGUAAGAAAAUCUUGAAAGAACAAUAGUUUUGUUUUGGUUUUUUUGGUCUGUCUCAAAGAAUGCUUUGACAAAUCUGAUCUGUGCACUUUUCCUGAGUCCCUGGCUUUGAAAUCAAAUCUGGUUUUAAUACAUAGCAGGUAUCAUCAGAGUACUUGGGUCUGUAAUUGAAGGAAAGUUGAGAUGGAGGGUGGGAAGGGAUUAGUUUGAUGCUUUCAUGGCUUGGCACAUCUGUGAAUGUUAGAAUAUAGAAGGAGAUGGAUAUCCAGGUUUAGAUCAGACCUAUCCGGAUGCAGGAGGCACAGAGUUUAGAUUGAAGGUGGCUAUUCAUCUCGAGGUUCAAAUGCUCAUCUUCCAAAGUCUGCCAAAAGGGUGUCAGCCUAUGGAGGGCAGUCUGUUUCUGUUCUUGGUCUGGUUCUUCCCUGAGCAAUAAUAA
rnacentral:lncRNA from 1 species